GAACACGGACCAAGGAGUCUAGCAUGCGCGCGAGUCAUUGGGAUCCUAAACUAAACCCAGAGGCGCAAUGAAAGUGAACAGCGUCGACCUCGCGUCGACCGCAGGGAAGAUGACGGUCGGCAAGCCCGUCCGCUCGCAUUCCCGGGGCGUUUCGAGAAAUGCCUCCGUUGCGAUUAUCGAGACGCACCGAGAGCGCGCACGCUGGGACCCGAAAGAUGGUGAACUAUGCCCGGUCAGGUCGAAGUCAGGGGAAACCCUGAUGGAGGACCGAAGCGAUUCUGACGUGCAAAUCGAUCGUCUGAACUGGGUAUAGGGGCGAAAGACUAAUCGAACUAUCUAAUAGCUGGUUCCAUCCGAAGUUUCCCUCAGGAUAGA
rnacentral:rRNA from 1 species